rnacentral:rRNA from 1 species
GGAUCCAGACUUUGAUUAUGGCUCAGGAUGAACGCUAGCUACAGGCUUAACACAUGCAAGUCGAGGGGAAACGAUAGAGAAAGCUUGCUUUUUCUAGGCGUCGACCGGCGCACGGGUGAGUAACGCGUAUCCAACCUGCCCACCACUUGGGGAUAACCUUGCGAAAGUAAGACUAAUACCCAAUGAUAUCUCUAGAAGACAUCUGAAGGAGAUUAAAGAUUUAUCGGUGAUGGAUGGGGAUGCGUCUGAUUAGCUUGUCGGCGGGGUAACGGCCCACCGAGGCGACGAUCAGUAGGGGUUCUGAGAGGAAGGUCCCCCACAUUGGAACUGAGACACGGUCCAAACUCCUACGGGAGGCAGCAGUGAGGAAUAUUGGUCAAUGGGCGAGAGCCUGAACCAGCCAAGUAGCGUGCAGGAUGACGGCCCUAUGGGUUGUAAACUGCUUUUAUAAGGGAAUAAAGUGAGCCUCGUGAGGCUUUUUGCAUGUACCUUAUGAAUAAGGACCGGCUAAUUCCGUGCCAGCAGCCGCGGUAAUACGGAAGGUCCGGGCGUUAUCCGGAUUUAUUGGGUUUAAAGGGAGCGUAGGCCGGAGAUUAAGCGUGUUGUGAAAUGUAGAUGCUCAACAUCUGCACUGCAGCGCGAACUGGUUUCCUUGAGUACGCACAAAGUGGGCGGAAUUCGUGGUGUAGCGGUGAAGUGCUUAGAUAUCACGAAGAACUCCGAUUGCGAAGGCAGCUCACUGGAGCGCAACUGACGCUGAAGCUCGAAAGUGCGGGUAUCGAACAGGAUUAGAUACCCUGGUAGUCCGCACGGUAAACGAUGGAUGCCCGCUGUUGGUCUGAAUAGGUCAGCGGCC